rfam:Gossypium arboreum cultivar AKA8401 contig_4619_1, whole genome shotgun sequence.
UGUUAAAAUUUUUAUCCAUUUUUACUAAUAAGAACCGAUGUGGUUAACGAAAUAACUAAAUAGUUACAAGCGAUAUAUUUCAUGUAUCUCAUGCUAAUGUAUAGAGAUCAAUUUUCAACAGUAAAAAUGGAUAAAAUUUUUAACA